UGCCAUCAUUGAGUUGGGCACUCUGGAGGGACUGCCGGUGUCAAACCGGAGGAAGGUGGGGAUGACGUCAAGUCCUCAUGGCCUUUAUGACCAGGGCUACACACGUGCUACAAUGGCCGGUACAAAGGGUCGCCAACCCGCGAGGGGGAGCUAAUCCCAAAAAACCGGUCUCAGUUCGGAUUGGAGUCUGCAACUCGACUCCAUGAAGUCGGAAUCGCUAGUAAUCGCAGAUCAGCACGCUGCGGUGAAUACGUUCCCGGGCCUUGUACACACCGCCCGUCACACCAUGGGAGUCGAUUGCUCCAGAAGUCGGUGCGCCAACCGCAAGGAGGCAGCCGCCCAAGGAGUGGUCGGUAACUGGGGUG
rnacentral:rRNA from 1 species